CUGGACGCAAAGAACAGUCAGCACUCCGGGCUGUCAUCAAGUGCAUUGAAGAAUACAAACUGGAAGCUGAGUUCCCUCCAGAAAACCUUAAGAAGCGCCUUGAACAGCUAGAGAAAGCAAAAACUGACAAGAAAAGGCCAGCUGCAGUCCCUGCCAACAAACGAACACGAGCAAGCAAUGGUGGGCCCAUGCCUCCAGCCAAGGCUGGCCGCUUGACAAAUGCAUACGUAUCAUCUUUCCCAGCUGCUCCUACAUUCAUCCGGUCUCCCUCUCACACUCAGUACCCUGCUGCAGUCCCUGCAUACCCAUAUGACAGGCCAGCUGCACCUGCCAUGUAUGGCAGCAGGAGUCCACCAGCCAACCCUUAUGCUUACUCGCCGGAAGCUGCCCCUCCUCUUGCUGGAUCAUAUCCUGGAGCUCCCAUCAACUAUCCUGCAUAUGGAGGCUAUGGCAAUGGUAUGGCACCAGCUUAUCAGCAGGCUUACUACUGAUAAUAGACAUGACUACUCUGAAGAUGGUAACACUGAUAUGAUGAUGACCCC
rnacentral:lncRNA from 1 species